rnacentral:ncRNA from 2 species
GCACGUUCUCAGGGCGGGGUGAAACUCCCCACCGGCGGUAGCGGGAGAAGUCCCGAAGCCCGCGAGCGCUCUCUGUCGCAAGCUGGAGAGGUCAGCAGAUCCGGUCAAAUUCCGGAGCCGACGGUUAAAGUCCGGAUGGAAGAGAGCAAGC